rnacentral:rRNA from 1 species
UAGGGAAUUUUCGGCAAUGGGCGAAAGCCUGACCGAGCAAUGCCGCGUGAAUGAUGAAUGUCUUCGGAUUGUAAAGUUCUGUGGUAGAGGAAGAACAACCACCUUAGGAAAUGAGGGUGGCCUGACUGUACUCUACUAGAAAGUCACGGCUAACUACGUGCCAGCAGCCGCGGUAAUACGUAGGUGGCGAGCGUUAUCCGGAAUUAUUGGGCGUAAAGAGUGAGCAGGUUGCUCCUUAAGUUUAAAGUCAAAUGCUGGCGCUCAACGCCAGUUCGCUUUAAAAACUAGGGAGCUAGAGUGAGGGAGAAGUUGAUGGAAUUUCUAGUGUAGUGGUAAAAUGCAUAGAUAUUAGAAGGAACACCAGUGGCGAAAGCGGUCAACUAGACCUUUACUGACACUCAGUCACGAAAGCGUGGGGAGCAAAUA